AACGAACGCUGGCGGCAUGCCUAACACAUGCAAGUCGAACGAGACCUUCGGGUCUAGUGGCGCACGGGUGCGUAACGCGUGGGAACCUGCCCUUAGGUUCGGAAUAACUCCCCGAAAGGGGUGCUAAUACCGGAUAAUGUCUUCGGACCAAAGAUUUAUCGCCUUUGGAUGGGCCCGCGUUGGAUUAGCUAGUUGGUAGGGCAAAAGCCUACCAAGGCGACGAUCCAUAGCUGGUCUGAGAGGAUGAUCAGCCACACUGGGACUGAGACACGGCCCAGACUCCUACGGGAGGAAGCAGUGGGGAAUAUUGGACAAUGGGCGAAAGCCUGAUCCAGCAAUGCCGCGUGAGUGAUGAAGGCCUUAGGGUUGUAAAGCUCUUUUACCCGGGAUGAUAAUGACAGUACCGGGAGAAUAAGCGCCGGCUAACUCCGUG
rnacentral:rRNA from 1 species